ACACAUGCAAGUCGAACGGGAGAGAAGGAGCUUGCUUCUUCGAUCGAGUGGCGAACGGGUGAGUAACGCGUGAGGAACCUGCCUCAAAGAGGGGGACAACAGUUGGAAACGACUGCUAAUACCGCAUAAGCCCACGGGUCGGCAUCGACCUGAGGGAAAAGGAGCAAUCCGCUUUGAGAUGGCCUCGCGUCCGAUUAGCUAGUUGGUGAGGUAACGGCCCACCAAGGCGACGAUCGGUAGCCGGACUGAGAGGUUGAACGGCCACAUUGGGACUGAGACACGGCCCAGACUCCUACGGGAGGCAGCAGUGGGGAAUAUUGCACAAUGGGGGAAACCCUGAUGCAGCGACGCCGCGUGGAGGAAGAAGGUCUUCGGAUUGUAAACUCCUGUUGUUGAGGAAGAUAAUGACGGUACUCAACAAGGAAGUGACGGCUAACUACGUGCCAGCAGCCGCGGUAAA
rnacentral:rRNA from 1 species